rnacentral:rRNA from 1 species
UGAGGAAUAUUGGUCAAUGGGCGAGAGCCUGAACCAGCCAAAUCGCGUGAAGGAUGAAGGUAUUAUGUACUGUAAACUUCUUUUGUCGGGGAAUAAAGUGCGGCACGUGUGCCGUUUUGCAUGUACCCGAAGAAUAAGGAUCGGCUAACUCCGUGCCAGCAGCCGCGGUAAUACGGAGGAUCCAAGCGUUAUCCGGAUUUAUUGGGUUUAAAGGGUGCGUAGGCGGAUGUUUAAGUCAGUGGUGAAAGUUUGCGGCUCAACCGUAAAAUUGCCAUUGAAACUGAAUGUCUUGAGUGUAAAUGAGGUAGGCGGAAUGUGUUGUGUAGCGGUGAGAUGCUUAGAUAUAACACAGAACACCAAUUGCGAAGGCAGCUUACUGGGAUACAACUGACGCUGAGGC